UGGGGAAUUUUGGACAAUGGGCGAAAGCCUGAUCCAGCAAUGCCGCGUGUGUGAAGAAGGCCUUCGGGUUGUAAAGCACUUUUGUCCGGAAAGAAAUCCUUGGCUCUAAUACAGUCGGGGGAUGACGGUACCGGAAGAAUAAGCACCGGCUAACUACGUGCCAGCAGCCGCGGUAAUACGUAGGGUGCAAGCGUUAAUCGGAAUUACUGGGCGUAAAGCGUGCGCAGGCGGUUUGCUAAGACCGAUGUGAAAUCCCGGGCUCAACCUGGGAACUGCAUUGGUGACUGGGCAGGCUAGAGUAUGGCAGAGGGGGGUAGAAUUCCACGUGGUGAGCAGUGAAAUGCGUAGAGAUGUGGAGGAAUACCGAUGGCGAAGGCAGCCCCCUGGGCCAAUACUGACGCUCAUGCACGAAAGCGUGGGGAGCAAACAGGAUUAGAUACCCUGGUAGUCCACGCCCUAAACGAUGUCAACUAGUUGUUGGGGAUUCAUUUCCUUAGUAACGUAGCUAACGCGUGAAGUUGACCGCCU
rnacentral:rRNA from 1 species